GCUUGCUUUAAAAGGUUAGCGGCGGACGGGUGAGUAACACGUGGGCAACCUGCCUGUAAGACUGGGAUAACGCCGGGAAACCCGGGGCUAAUACCAGAUAGUUUUUUUCUCCGCAUGGAGGAAAAAAGGAAAGGCGGCUUCGGCUGCCACUUACAGAUGGGCCCGCGGCGCAUUAGCUAGUUGGCGGGGUAAUGGCCCACCAAGGCAACGAUGCGUAGCCGACCUGAGAGGGUGAUCGGCCACAUUGGGACUGAGACACGGCCCAAACUCCUACGGGAGGCAGCAGUAGGGAAUCUUCCGCAAUGGACGAAAGUCUGACGGAGCAACGCCGCGUGAGUGAAGAAGGCCUUCGGGUCGUAAAACUCUGUUGCCGGGGAAGAACAAGUGCCGUUCGAACAGGGCGGCGCCUUGACGGUACCCGGCCAGAAAGCCACGGCUAACUACGUGCCAGCAGCCGCGGUAAUACGUAGGUGGCAAGCGUUGUCCGGAAUUAUUGGGCGUAAAGCGCGCGCAGGCGGCUUCUUAAGUCUGAUGUGAAAUCUUGCGGCUCAACCGCAAGCGGUCAUUGGAAACUGGGAGGCUUGAGUGCAGAAGAGGAGAGUGGAAUUCCACGUGUAGCGGUGAAAUGCGUAGAGAUGUGGAGGAACACCAGUGGCGAAGGCGGCUCUCUGGUCUGUAACUGACGCUGAGGCGCGAAAGCGUGGGGAGCAAACAGGAUUAGAUACCCUGGUAGUCCACGCCGUAAACGAUGAGUGCUAAGUGUUAGAGGGUUUCCACCCUUUAGUGCUGCAGCUAACGCAUUAAGCACUCCGCCUGGGGAGUACGGCCGCAAGGCUGAAACUCAAAGGAAUUGACGGG
rnacentral:rRNA from 1 species